CCUACGGGAGGCAGCAGUAGGGAAUUUUCGGCAAUGGGGGGAACCCUGACCGAGCAACGCCGCGUGAACGAAGAAGUUAUUCGUAAUGUAAAGUUCUUUUAACAGGGAAGAAAGAGAAUUUUGACGGUACCUGACGUAUAAGCUCCGGCUAACUACGUGCCAGCAGCCGCGGUAAUACGUAGGGAGCGAGCGUUAACGGGAAUUAUGGGGCGUAAAGGGUUCGUAGAGGGCAUAGAAAGUCUUUUGGAAAGAUGCUGGGCUAAACCCAGUAGGUCAAAAGAUACUGCAAAGCUAGAGUAUGACAGAGGCGAGUGGAACUACAUGUGGAGCGGUAAAAUGCGUAAAUAUAUGUAAGAACACCAGUGGCGAAGGCGGCUUUCUGGGUCGAUACUGACAUUGAGGCACGAAAGCGUGGGGAGCAAACAGGAUUAGAUACCCCAGUAGUC
rnacentral:rRNA from 1 species